rnacentral:rRNA from 1 species
UACGUAGGGGGCAAGCGUUGUCCGGAAUUAUUGGGCGUAAAGAGCUCGUAGGCGGUCUGUCGCGUCGGCUGUGAAAGCCCGGAGCUCAACUCCGGGCCUGCAGUCGAUACGGGCAGACUGGAGUUCGGCAGGGGAGACUGGAAUUCCUGGUGUAGCGGUGAAAUGCGCAGAUAUCAGGAGGAACACCGGUGGCGAAGGCGGGUCUCUGGGCCGAUACUGACGCUGAGGCGCGAAAGCGUGGGGAGCGAACAGG